AUUGAACGCUGGCGGCAGGCCUAACACAUGCAAGUCGAGCGGAUGAAGGGGGCUUGCUCCUGGAUUCAGCGGCGGACGGGUGAGUAAUGCCUAGGAAUCUGCCUGGUAGUGGGGGAUAACGUCCGGAAACGGGCGCUAAUACCGCAUACGUCCUGAGGGAGAAAGUGGGGGAUCUUCGGACCUCACGCUAUCAGAUGAGCCUAGGUCGGAUUAGCUAGUUGGUGGGGUAAAGGCCUACCAAGGCGACGAUCCGUAACUGGUCUGAGAGGAUGAUCAGUCACACUGGACCUGAGCCACGUUCCUGACUCCUACGACAGGCAUCAGUGGGGAAUUUUGGACAAUGGGCGAAAGCCUGAUCCAGCCAUGCCGCGUGUGUGAAGAAGGUCUUCUGAUUGUAAAGCACUUUGAGUUGGGAGGAAGAGCAGUAAGUUAAUACCUUGCUGUUUUGACGUUACCAACAUAAUAAGCACCGGCUAACUUCGUG
rnacentral:rRNA from 1 species